CCGUGACGUCGCGAGAAGUCCACUGAACCUUAUCAUUUAGAGGAAGGAGAAGUCGUAACAAGGUUUCCGUAGGUGAACCUGCGGAAGGAUCAUUGUCGAGACCUGCCCAGCAGAAGGACCGGCGAAC
rnacentral:rRNA from 1 species